UAGGGAAUCUUCCGCAAUGGGCGAAAGCCUGACGGAGCAACGCCGCGUGAGUGAUGAAGGCCCUAGGGUUGUAAAGCUCUUUCACCGGUGAAGAUAAUGACGGUAACCGGAGAAGAAGCCCCGGCUAACUUCGUGCCAGCAGCCGCGGUAAUACGAAGGGGGCUAGCGUUGUUCGGAUUUACUGGGCGUAAAGCGCACGUAGGCGGACUAUUAAGUCAGGGGUGAAAUCCCGGGGCUCAACCCCGGAACUGCCUUUGAUACUGGUAGUCUUGAGUUCGAGAGAGGUGAGUGGAAUUCCGAGUGUAGAGGUGAAAUUCGUAGAUAUUCGGAGGAACACCAGUGGCGAAGGCGGCUCACUGGCUAGAUACUGACGCUGAGGUGCGAAAGCGUGGGGAGCAAACAGG
rnacentral:rRNA from 1 species